GAAAGCACACGCAAGGCAGGGGGCUCAAAUAGACUAUAAAUGAGCAUGUGUUGCAAACUGAAUAUCGUGGGUCUAAAAAUUAAUGAAGGAACACAGACUGCAGCAUGACCCAGUGGUAACACGCAUUCUCCUGAAAGAUAAACAAGAACUUCUACGUGUGCAAGAGAACGUUGUCCACAGCUCAUAGUUCAUUCAUUAAAGGAUGACAUGGAACAUACUAAUAUUACAACAUGAAGCUGCAAUCUUCAGUCUAUUACUUAUAUACUUGUAAAGUAGCAUCUAUUUUUUAUAUUGGCACAAAAAUUCUAUGCCAAUAAUAAAUAAAUAAAUAAA